rnacentral:rRNA from 1 species
UACGUACUGUGCGAACGUUAUUCGGAAUCACUGGGCUUAAAGGGUGCGUAGGCGGCCAAUUAAGUAGGGUGUGAAAUCCCUCGGCUCAACCGAGGAAUUGCGCUCUAAACUGGUUGGCUCGAGUGAGAUAGGGGUGUGCGGAACUUCCAGUGGAGCGGUGAAAUGUGUUGAUAUUGGAAGGAACUCCGGUGGCGAAAGCGGCACACUGGGUCUCUACUGACGCUGAGGCACGAAAGCCAGGGGAGCGAACGGG